rnacentral:rRNA from 1 species
GAAUAUUGGACAAUGGCUGAAAAGCUGAUCCAGCCAUCCCGCGUGAAGGCAGAAGGUCCUAUGGAUUGUAAACUUCUUUUCUCUGGGAAGAAAUCCCCGUAUUCUUGCGGGGUUGACGGUACCAGAGGAAUACGCACCGGCUAACUCCGUGCCAGCAGCCGCGGUAAUACGGAGGGUGCAAGCGUUAUCCGGAUUCACUGGGGUUAAAGGGUGCGUAGGCGGGCUUGUAAGUCAGUGGUGAAAGCCCGGGGCUCAACUCCGGAACUGCCGUUGAUACUGCAAGCCUUGAGUACAGUUGAGGUGGGCGGAAUACAUCAUGUAGAGGUGAAAUUCUUAGAUAUGAUGUAGAACACCGAUUGCGAAGGCAGCUCACUAAAGUGUAACUGACGCUGAGGCACGAAAGCGUGGGGAUCAAACAGG